GUUAUCACACUGUACAAACAAUAUAAUAUAAUAAAUUGGACAAAGUAAUAGCAAUAGCAACAUAAGGCAGAGAGACACAUCGUGAUUCCCUCCUAAGAAAGAAGAAAACUACUUUCACGGAGAGUUGGCCUUUAUCGAUUUCAAGAGAGGAGAAACGAAAGUCUCGAAAGUCGUCGUCGUCGUCGUCGUCGUCGUCGUCUUGGCUGAGUGAAAAUACGUCAAAAGGACACCAUAUGUUUGUGUGUGUUUGUAUGUAAAAA